rnacentral:rRNA from 1 species
GAUAAGCAUAUCAAUAAGCGGAGGAAAAGAAACCAACAGGGAUUGCCUCAGUAACGGCGAGUGAAGCGGCAACAGCUCAAAUUUGAAAUCUGGCCCCCUCGGGGUCCGAGUUGUAAUUUGCAGAGGGUGCUUUGGCGUCGGCCGUGGUCUAAGUUCCUUGGAACAGGACGUCACAGAGGGUGAGAAUCCCGUACGUGGCCGCCGGUCUUCGCCGUGUAAAGCCCCUUCGACGAGUCGAGUUGUUUGGGAAUGCAGCUCUAAAUGGGAGAUAAAUUUCUUCUAAAGCUAAAUAUUGGCCAGAGACCGAUAGCGCACAAGUAGAGUGAUCGAAAGAUGAAAAGCACUUUGGAAAGAGAGUCAAAAAGCACGUGAAAUUGUUGAAAGGGAAGCGCUUGCAGCCAGACGUGCCCGCAGUUGCUCACCCGGGCUCUCGCCCGGGGCAUUCUUCUGCGGGCAGGCCAGCAUCAGUUCGGGCGGUCGGAUAAAGGCCUCUGUCACGUACCCUCCCUCCGGGGAGGGCCUUAUAGGGGAGGCGCAACACGGCCAGCCUGAACUGAGGACCGCGCAUCAGCUAGGAUGCUGGCGUAAUGGCUGUAAGCGGCCCGUCUUGAAACACGGACCAAGGAGUCUAACAUCUAUGCGAGUGUUUGGGUGUCAAGCCCGGGCGCGCAAUGAAAGUGAACGGAGGUGGGAACCUUAGGGUGCACCAUCGACCGAUCCUGAAGUCUUCGGAUGGAUUUGAGUAAGAGCAUAGCUGUUGGGACCCGAAAGAUGGUGAACUAUGCCUGAAUAGGGUGAAGCCAGGGGAAACCCUGGUGGAGGCUCGCAGCGGUUCUGACGUGCAAAUCGAUCGUCAAAUUUGGGC